UCCGGUUUGGCACCGGCAGUCUCACUAGAGUUCCCAUCCGAAAUGCUGGCAACUAAGGACAAGGGUUGCGCUCGUUGCGGGACUUAACCCAACAUCUCACGACACGAGCUGACGACAGCCAUGCAGCACCUGUCUCGCGAUUCCCGAAGGCACCAAGGCAUUUCUGCCAAGUUCCGCGGAUGUCAAGGCCAGGUAAGGUUCUUCGCGUUGCAUCGAAUUAAUCCACAUAAUCCACCGCUUGUGCGGGUCCCCGUCAAUUCCUUUGAGUUUUAACCUUGCGGCCGUACUCCCCAGGCGGUCAACUUCACGCGUUAGCUUCGUUACCAAGGGAAUCAAUCCCCCGACAACCAGUUGACAUAGUUUAGGGCGUGGACUAC
rnacentral:misc_RNA from 1 species